ACCUGGCGUCUCCUGUUCAUGUUUUUCUUCAUUUCUCCCUCUCUUUUUUUGGAGGAAAAAGGUGGCACGUGAAAAUGGAACAAAAUGCUUACCAUGGCUUGACCUGCGUUUCUGACUAAAUCUAAGGGGGUGUGCGUGGUGGUGCCGACCUACGAGGAUUUGUUAUUAAGCACAUCUAUUGGCACAAACCGGACUGACACCAGUAUGGGAAUUGAUAUUUAGAUGACAAGUCCCACCUUUAUUGUAAUGUUAAAUAUAUCUGUUGUGGAAUGCCCUUCUAAUGGUUAAUAAAUAUGUCCAGCAAGGAAAGGAUUCAUUAGAAAGGAACUGCAUUUUGAUGGCUUCAUAAAAUAAUUUUGAGAUUUUAUUUAAUUUUUCUCAGAAACCGCAGGCAGACAAUGAUGUCUCAAAGCACUAGGCUGUUACAGUUUUAUGUUACAACACACAUGGUUAGCAUAGUAGAUUAAGUGGCACUAUCAUUAAGCCGCAUUGUUUUUCUUAUUAAACAAGCACACUAUAGGAUGUGGCAUGUGUAAAACCUGGAACAUGAUUCCAAUAAUCUCAGAUGUAUUUUUGAUGUGUUCUUUUAAAAAAAGCACUAAGUGCACAAUAACUACUACAGUGCACUGUAGUGGCCAUCUUGCCAGGAGUGCAAAACAUAUUGACUUCAUACCGGGAAUCCUCCAGGUGCUGGUUUCCGCCUCAACUAUCCUUCAGCAGAGCGCUGGAAGUUCCUUGGUAGGAUCUUCCAUUGGAUCUCUUGAACAGCUCGUUGGCUCAACGCAAUCAACUGAUGUUACCUAGAAACUUUCAGCUCUCAGCCAAUGGUACUGGAGGCGGGAGCAGCACCCAGCGUACCCUAGGUAAACAGCCACUUGAUCUUACAAGGUGAGGGGCACUCCUGGCACCAUAACUGCCAUUGCAAGCUGUGAGUGUUCCUUUAAAAUGCAGUCGCUCCCUUGCACUGUACAAAUAAUUAUACAUUCAUCACUAGAAUAACUGGUGUACAGAAGGUGUUCAGAAACAUUUUAUUUACCUACCAGUCCUCAAUGGCUAUCAGUUGUGUAGAUGAAUAUUUGUCUGAUACUAGACCCCUAGCUGACUCUAACAUCAUGAUUUCAUAACUAUAACGUUGCGGCAGCCAAAAACCUAGCAGGUAGAUGGGUCAGGUUCAUUGGUAUUUUAGUCUGCCAAAUGUGGGAGUCCUGUAUCUGCCUACAUCUGUUCCUGGAUUUUUCAAUGGACGCAUUGAUCAUUGUUGGGUUAUCCCAAAUCUUGUAUAAUUGGUGGCCCGUGAGAACUGUUGCUCUAUCCCAAAUUAUUAUUUUAGGUGGAACUUAUCGUUUAACUGUCAAUUCUUCAUCCUGUAUGUACUGUUGGCAUUCUGCUUGACAAUGAACUUGCUUGGAAUUUUCUUUGUAACCACUGACCUUCCCUUCUCCAGUCAAGUGCCUUGGGGGCUUGGAUUCUUAACCUCCUUCUGUCACAAUAUGUAACCGUUUCCUAUCUGUGACAGUGAAUUAACCUACACCACUAAGUUUUCUUCUAUUAAAGCACCCACUGCAUGGGUUAGUAGUUAAAGUGUGCACCGUAAUGGACACCACUGUGUGAUGAAAUGCCAAACCCAAAAGAGUAUUCAUCCAUAAGAGUUCCUCAAGGUUGUGCCCACUUAAUGGUAAUCGCUCAAUGCGCAAAGGUUAGCAUGACUUAUAUGGAGUAGCGUCGUUUCUGAAACAUAUACAUAUUGGGUUGGCACACCUGCUUCAUUUUGCUGACAUUUCUACAAAACUAGCGAACUACAGAUCUAUUAAAACAAAGUUCUUUGACCUGUUCUGUUAUGCCACUAAUGAACUAACCGUCAUUUAUUAAAACGUUUUCAGACUUCAGUUCAGCUGUUUGGCAAACACCUUACUGUGCAACCUAUGGCCAAACUCUCCUCUAGAUUUAAAACUGAACAAGGAAUAGAGCAGCGCUAAACAAACUAAGAACACUAGGAUGGGAGGCAGCACACCUGAUAAUAGGGGAAUCCCUCCAACCCCCCAAGAAAACUAGAACAAGUCAAAGAACAAUAUACAGGUAGCGCCAAGAAAAAUACUCCAAACACAAUAGUAUAUAAUAAUAACAACAAUAAAAUCAAUAAAAAAAAACAAAAAAAAAAACACGGGAUAUAAAGAGUCCACAAUAAAACUUAAAAGAAUAAAAAAUACCAAAUGGUACGGCACAGUCGCAAAGGUGGCAAUAGAUCUUUUAGUCCUGUUAUGAGACUUUCUUGGUAGCUUUGCUUAAUAGCAGAAUAUGACAAGGAAGCAAAAAGAGGCAAACCAAUAGUGCAAUAUGGUAGUAUGUGGUAGGACAAACGACACUUGGAUAAGAUGUCAACUCACAUAUGGUAGAGCUAUAACCAGCUCUAGGUAAAACAGCAUUCAGUGGUAUACAAUCCCCACUUGCAGGAUAUCCUUCUGAUUUUGGUACACAGUAGAAUGAUGGUAAAUCAUAUGGAAUGACAAAAAUAAGCAGCCAGUAGUGCUCUCUAUAUGGAUAGGCAAGUAUAAAUAAGGUAAAUAAAAGUAUACUUACAAUAGAGUGAGCAGACUAACGGCUCUAUUUAUCAAGCCAGGGUGGUAUAAUUGCCACCAAGGAUUUCUUUGGUUGGUUGUCCACAGUAGGUGAUGGGUCCAGAUGUCAGGUAAAAGUAUAAAAAUAAAUAAGUUCUAAAAAUACAUGGCUAAAGGGCAGGUAGUGAGGUAGCCAAAAUACUUUAUUUUAACAACAGCAUAAAAACCACAACAUGUUUCUCCCCAUAGGGCUUUCUCAAGUGGUAAAAACAGAUACCUGACAUAACUAGGUUUAUAUAGACUUUAAAAUACUUAAUUUUAGCGCCAAAAUGACAUCAUUAAUCACAUGCCAACAAUUGCAUGGCUAUGGCUAAAAAAAUGUUUUUCUUUUCUUUCUAAAUAGUCACUUUAUUCGGUCUAAGCAAUAUGUAAUUAGAACAAUAUGACAUAUUUAGGGGAGUGUGGCAGUAUUAAAAAGUAUAAAAUGAACACUAUUAGACGAGAUAACAAUUGAUAGAAAAUUAAUAAAAAGAAACACAGCCUUUAGGCAUAUCUGCUAAACAGUCACAAUUAAAAACCUAUUCUACAGAAAGGUAAAACGAUCAAAAUCAGCAUGUAAACCUUCUGGUACCAAAGUUCUCAAGUUAAAAACCCACUGCAUCUCAUUAUUUCCCAGAAUUUUUUUUCAUAUCACCUCCACGCCAUGGCAUGGUACAUUUUUGUAUGCCAGUAAAUUUUAAACAUCCUGGAUUUUUUUGAUAUUUUGAUACAGUGUAAUUUAAGUAUCCUUUGGUUAUGUUUCAGCAAUGGGGUGCUUUUAAGUUUUAUUGUAGACUCUUUUCUAUAACCUGUGGGUUUUUAAUUGAUUUUGUUCUUAUUUAUAUACUAUUGUGUUUUGGAGUAUUUUUCUUGGUGCUACCUGUAUCUUGUUCUUUGACGUCUCUAGUUUUGCAAGAUUAAAGUAUGAAACUGGCGCGUCACUUUUUAGAUUGUUUUUGUUUUAAUGCUAAGGAACGUGUUAGAUGACUAGCAGUGAACAAAAUUUUACAUGUCUCAAAGUAUGAUGGUUUAUUGAACUCUGUUCAUCCAUUUGGCUGGUCCAUCUUCUAUAAAGCGACAAACUCCCUAACACUAAUUCUGCUUGCGAUGUAUAUGCUUGCUUAUUGCGUACUCUCUAGGAUCACCGUUUUUGCGCAUUUUAUACCUCAGACUAAGAGCGCUUUAGUCCACAUUCUGCGAACUGCCAGCUGCAAUAACUCUUGUGUAAUACAACUGGUAAUAUUUCAUUAAAAAACUGCAUGACUACAAGAUUUAAAUAAAAAGCCAAAUUCUAUGGUACCUCUACCAAAACCACUGUUCUUUAGGCAUUUCAUCUUUCCAAAAUAUCGCCACUCUGUUGCCUCCAAUAUCAUAUAUGAAUACUAAUGUUUUCUGGUCUGAAUCCAUCCUUCCAUCUUUUUGUGCAAAGAUGCUAUCCCACAGUCUGCCAGUCCAAUGUUUGUCUAAUAUGUCUAUGCUCCAAUAUUUCUCACGUUUCAACGAUUUGCAGGAAAAGUCCUAAAGAAGAAAUGUACUGGUUAAAAUAAUAAGUUCAUAAUUAAAACCGUCAAACCUCUGAUAGCUGCAAGGACGAAACAGUAAGACUUUUCAUAUCUUAAGUGUUGUGUUUUUUGUUUUUGUUUUUUUAAUAUCUCUUUCUCCAUUAGUUGGAGAAAUAUGCAUCCCUUUACCAGGUUUAUCCAUUAUGUUACAAGCUGUUCCCCCAACCAAUCAGAGUGCGCAGCAUUACCAGGUUUAUCCAUCGUCCUAGAAUUGUUGCUCUGCUGGUUUGGAGGAACUUGCUAUAUUUAUCCAUCUUGAUACAUGUUUAUCUCCCUUACUGCCAAAGGAACCUGGAUCACAGUGCUGAAUAUUGUGUUGCAGGCUUGUUCCUCUAUGAGACAGAGGUACCUACACCACAAUUCCUGAUGUAUCCACUACUUUACAUGCUGGUUCCUUCAGCUGUCAUAUGAACCCGCAUUACUGUGUUUGGAUAUGAUACAGGCUUGGAAGAGCCAGCACCUCCUGUACAGUAGGCCAGGCCUCAGUCUUUUUUAAUGCUGUGCCUAGCUCUCACUGCUACUGAGAAAGGAUGCAUAAUUUGACUAUUGUAGCAUCUAAAAACAAAUAUUUUUCGUAUUCAUGAUUUUUCUUAUAUUUAGACUCUUCAAGCAAAAUAAACAGUAAUUUUUUUUAUUUAAUUUUUUUAAUUUUUUUUUAGUCUGUGGUGUUACAUGUUCCUUUUUCUCACAGACUUAAAAUUCCCAUGAUCCUUCCUGAAAUGUCAUGGUGUUAUCUUGCUGUUCUCCUCAGUCGAUUUUCUCUAAAAUUUAAAUUCCAGGUGUUCUGAGCAAAGGUUGAUGGUUAAAGAGAGAAAAUCUCUCAAAUAAAGAAAUGGUCAUGCGUUCUGCCCUCCUCAAACAUCCAUAUCCAAAAGGUAAAUGUAUGCCUUCUGCAAGUGAGAGACCUUUCAUAGACUGCAUUCCCCUGAGCAAGUGACAAAAUGACAGUGCCAAAAUCAGUCCUCGUACAUGCAUGCUGUUAUCUUGACAUGGGACAGCACUGUUUUCACCCAUUAUACAAGCUCAUAGAAAACUUGGGAGGAUAUUGAAUGUCUGUCUUGAAAUAUUCUGCCCAGGCCUCUUGUCUGACAGUAGUCUUCUUUUCUUAUAGAUGUUGGCUUAGCUGUGUAUACCUACUGUCUGUAAACAAUUUUUUUGCCUACUCUGUAGUCCAUGAAAAAACACUGUAUAACCAUUUCACUACUCCACUCCCAAUAGUCAGGUGUUCUGUGCUGCAGAUACCAGAAAUCAAAGGUUUUGUUUAACCUAUGUCACCAAGGUAAUCUAUUUAUACAGGAUAUUCACUAAACUGGAAUUUGACCAGGGAAUUUUAAAAAGUUUGGCCAAAAUAGCCGGGCAGGGCAAACCAUGUUGCAUUGUCACCUAGAAUUUAUAGUUCUGUGCUUUAAUUCUGUUUUAGUGAAUAGCCCAUGAGUAUUUUAAAGGGGAUCUGAAAUUAGAUUAUUUUUUUGUCUUCCAAUUUUUGUUAUAAGCAAAGUUUUGUUGUGUUUUUUUUUUUUGUUUUGUUUUUCUCCUUAUGUGGGCUUGUUUACAUAUUUAAUACACCCCCCUGUAACUUUAAUGCUAGCUACACACUUGUGUAUUGCUCAGUCAAGUCUAGACUUUAAUAUAGAAUAUCCAGUAAUGAUCUAGACCUCUAGUGCACCUUUUUUUUUUUUUUUUUUUGUAUAUAUUGGCAAGGAUCGUAAUGUGUACCUCUGCCAACCCUGUCUAGGGCCUUGCCCCAAUAAGAUGAUUCAUUAAUCCAGGGAAGAGGAAGGACUAUUCCGGAUCACUGUUGCACCAGUGUUCCCAGGUAUGUCAAUAGGCCAUUAAUGUAACACUAACUGUAAACACAGAAAUGUAGUUUUUAUGGGUUUAGGAGGUUAGCCUAGUGUUGGUAAAGCAGCUGCUAUCCAGCUACAGAUCCCAUAGCCAUGCUAUUUUAUACAAGCAGCUGAAGACAUAAUUUGCGUUAGCGGGUAUACACACUGCUUUGUGAGCAAAUAAGCAAAUCGUCUGCACGUUUUUAUCUCUGAGAUUACACGGUAUGCUAUUUGUCUAAUUGACUAUUUAAACUGAAAAAUUCAGAAAUUCUGAGAAAUAGUGAUGCCAGAUUACUUUAUGCGGUUUUGUAACGGAUUACAGAAUUUACAUGAAUCAUAUUUAAUAAAUAGCAGAUGUGUUCUUUUUUAUGUUGGGAAAUAGACAAAUCUGCUCACAGAAACAUCAGAGUGAGCUGAAAGAGGUUGUAGAUUUGAUAGCUAUUGGAAGUCACUACAUUAUUAAAACUGCAGGAUUCCCAACUGUGACCCUUACUAAUUAGACAUUCCUCUUCCUGCAGUCUGUAUGAGCAGGCACGCUGUUUGCUGACGGGCCUUAUUUUCUGAUAUCUGCUGCUAUACUGAAAGUAUCCUUUUUUUUUUUUUCCUCCAACAUUCGUUUUAAUAUAUAAAAUAACAUUUCUUCAGAUAAAAUGUCAUGUAUUUUUUUUCAAUAGUUUUUUUAUUUUUUUAUUUUGUCACUGUUAAUGAGUGAAUUGAUGCCUAAUUAGAAAAAAAAAGAAAAAUGUUCUGUUGUCAAAAGCUCAACCUGUCUCUCUCGGUUCACAGUUAAGAUCGCCAAUGGAAAAAACCCAUACCUAGCUGUUCUGACAGCCUGGCACUGCAACUCAAUGGUAAACUUGGGAGCAAAACACAGACUUGUUUUGUUUCUGCUUCCGUCUGCACUGUUGUACAAGCUGAUCUGCUCCACUAAUAAGUUCACUAUUACACCGUGGAUGUUCAUUAUGUCAUCAAAAAAAUGGAAUACUGUACUGCAACCUUUGUCCUGGUUGUGACUUUUCUAUUAAAGAUUAAUAUAAAAUACCUCACAGCAGGGUUGUAGAGGAGCCCAUUAUAUGAAUUCUGUAGAUUUACAUGAAAUGUCCUUGUUUAAACUCUUCACUGCCAUGGGAUUUAGUAACCACCAAUCUGCGUCGUACUUAUAAAGUGGUCACAUUCUGCUGCUCUGUUCAGCCUGUUUAAUAAGAUAUACAGCCUGUGUGAUGCUAUUCGUAUCUUACAGUAUCCCUAUUUAAAAAUGUGUCCAGGACCCUUGUGUGGGGUUGCACUACCUGGCAGUCAUUGGGUUUUAAAAUGUCAUACUGAUUCUCUGAAGAAAACAUUUGGAGAGAAAUGUAUAAUUUGUAUGUGUUUUUAGUCUUUCAACACAAAAGAUAAAGACAUCGAAAGCUUUCUAGAACACAACCAGAACAAAGCGUUUUUUGUUUUUUUAAUUCCUUAUUUACAGAUAUCUGGUGUACACUGACCAUAUCCGGUGCAUACCAUGUAUGCUAAAACUGCUACAUCAGUUUAGGACUGUUGCAUAUGUGUAAGACCAGAAAAUCAAUACUUCUAUAGUCUGCAUUUCUGAGUGAUCUAUUUUAAUUUUUCAGAGUGAUACUGGUUAGAAGUAAUGUCUAUCUUUCUACAAAGCAUAGCAUAGCUUUGUAGAGAGAGAGACAUUACUUGUAUAUUUUCUACGGCAACUAAUAUUUUUUAAACUGUGCUACGUUUCAGACUCUGUCAUUCAUUCAGCAACAGAGGAGGAAAUAAAAAAAUAAAUAAAAAAAAUGUUCAGUUUAAUAAACCAAAUCAAGCCCCAUGGUCUGAAAUGUACCUAUGCUGGGAUAAUUGUAAAUGGCACAACAAAGUAUUGGUUUAGGCCAUACAAUCCUUUGAGUAGUCUUGGACUCUUGCUUCUAAGUAAAAGUGUCUUCAUCUUAAAAUUAUCACUAUAAGAUAUUGUGAUUUUUUUAAUUUUUUUUUAUUAAUUUUUUCAAUACAAAUGAAGCAAACAGUUCUAUUGAUGUUCGUUUUCAAAUCUUCAAAGUAAUCCCCCAGUCACUCAGCAAAUCUAUGAAUAUAAAAAAAAAAUACAAUCUAAGUUUGCUAUUCCUAAGGCAAUCCAACCAUGUGUUUCUCUCUAUGCAACUGGUUUUAGAAACAUGGCUGGCCAUCAAUGCACUCACUCAAUCACUAAGCGACAAUUUCAAAGCUCACAUGAUGUAAUAGUUUUUUGGCUUUUUGUUUUUAAAAAAAUGAGGAGUUUAGUUACAAUAUAUGAUCAUACAAUGCAUAAGCCUGCUACAACAUCAAUAAAAUAUAAAAAAAAAAAUGUUCCAAAAAAGUCCAAUGAAAUUCUAAAAGUCUGGGUGUACGACAUUGAUGUGUUUCUUUUGGGUUAAUGGGUUGUAAUUUGUAUGAGCUGUAAGCAUUCUGACUGGAAAAAAUAUGGAAUUUGCGUUUAAAUUUUUUUGUAACAAAAAGUAGUACAAUAAAGGUGCAAUGUGCGCUCCCUUUUCACUAAAAACUCCACCCCUUUUGCAGAAACAUGUCCUCUUAUGAUCCAAAUAAUUGUUGGCAUAUUCUUACCCUUAUAGUUGGAUGUGCACACAGUGCAAACGUCUCACCCCAGUGAGUCUUUUUAAGUCUUAUUGCGAGGAAACCAAUCCAAGUGAAAUUAUCAGCAUCAUUGAGUCUCGAUAAGGAGCAGCGCAUAUCAGUCAUCCUUCCCAUAUUUGCACUUUGGUUGUCAAGUGUUCAUAGUACAAACACAGAUAUAAUGACUGUAGCCUCUCAGCUGAUUACUAUUCUCAAGGUCCUGUCUGAGAUUAAAUGGAUUUUAACUAAUACCUGGAGACGUUGGGCUUGUUACGUCACAUAUGCUCUGCAUAGGCCAGCAAUCACAUAAUAUACUGGCUAAACUAUUACCCACUUGGUAAUUUCAAUAUCUUACCACAAUAAAACCAUGCAAAAAUGUUGAUUAAAAAGUUCGACUUUUCAUAAACAAGCCAGUAAACGAGAGUUCUGUGCUGUAUAUGAUUUCAGACCACCAAUAGGCUUAUAUAAGGUUUAUUAUAAUGUAUACAGCACAUUUGCUUCCAUCUUACUGUGGAAAGGUUUGGUGAGAAUUUGCAACACAUUGCACCAGUGCUUGUGCUCUAUCAUUGAGUGGGUUAGUUGUUGAUGAAAGGAACUUUAUUGUGCAUGUACAAACAAACUGUGAUAUUAUGCCCUCUCAGUUAAAUACUUCUACAGGUUGACCUUCAACAAGAAAAGAGAAAUAAA